UACGGAGGGAGCUAGCGUUGUUCGGAAUUACUGGGCGUAAAGAGCGCGUAGGCGGUUUAUCAAGUUGGAAGUGAAAGCCCGAGGCUUAACCUCGGAAUUGCUUUCAAGACUGAUAGACUAGAGAAUGGUAGAGGAUGGUGGAAUUCCUAGUGUAGAGGUGAAAUGCGCAGAUAUCGGGAAGAACACCCGUGGCGAAGGCGGCUCUCUGGGACGGUACUGACGCUGAGACGCGAAAGCGUGGGGAGCGAACAGG
rnacentral:rRNA from 1 species